rnacentral:rRNA from 1 species
UUUGAUCAUGGCUCAGAACGAACGCUGGCGGCGUGCCUAACACAUGCAAGUCGAACGGAGGCAAGGGGCUUGCUCCUUGCUUUAGUGGCGCACGGGUGAGUAACGCGUGGAUAAUCUGCCUGAUGAUCUGGGAUAACAUUUCGAAAGGGGUGCUAAUACCGGAUAAGCCCACGGAGUCUUAGGACUCUGCGGGAAAAGGGGGGGACCUUAGGGCCUUCCGUCAUCAGAUGAGUCCGCGUACCAUUAGCUAGUUGGUGGGGUAAAGGCCUACCAAGGCAACGAUGGUUAGCUGGUCUGAGAGGAUGAUCAGCCACACUGGAACUGAGACACGGUCCAGACUCCUACGGGAGGCAGCAGUGGGGAAUUUUGCGCAAUGGGGGAAACCCUGACGCAGCAACGCCGCGUGAGUGAUGAAGGCCUUCGGGUCGUAAAGCUCUGUCAGAGGGAAAGAAGUGUGGGAGGGUUAAUACCCCUUUCACUUGACGGUACCCUCAAAGGAAGCACCGGCCAACUCCGUGCCAGCAGCCGCGGUAAUACGGAGGGUGCGAGCGUUGUUCGGAAUUAUUGGGCGUAAAGCGCGUGUAGGCGGCUCCUUAAGUCUGAUGUGAAAGCCCUGGGCUCAACCCGGGAAGUGCAUUGGAAACUGGGGAACUUGAAUACGGGAGAGGGCAGUGGAAUUCCUGGUGUAGGAGUGAAAUCCGUAGAUAUCAGGAGGAACACCGGUGGCGAAGGCGGCUGCCUGGACCGAUAUUGACGCUGAGACGCGAAAGCGUGGGGAGCAAACAGGAUUAGAUACCCUGGUAGUCCACGCCGUAAACGAUGAGUACUAGGUGUUGCGGGUAUUGACCCCUGCAGUGCCGCAGCUAACGCAUUAAGUACUCCGCCUGGGAAGUACGGUCGCAGACUAAAACUCAAAGGAAUUGACGGGGCCCGCACAGCGUGAGCAUGUGGUUUAAUUCGACGCACGCGCAGRAACCUUA